UGGUGGUGGUGAUGAUGGGGGUGAUGGUGGUAAUGGUAGUGAUGCUGGGGGUGAUAAUGGUGGGGCUGAUAGGAGGAAGACGGUGGGGCUGACGGUUCAUGUACAUGACAUUUGCAUUUCCGCCCCCCCCCCCCCAGAUCUACUCCCUAACCUUCUCAUCCUGCUCCAUCCCCUGGGAGGCUGACCCUAUUGACUGUUCAGCCAGGUUGCUUGUUCUUUGUUUUUCUGUUGAGUUCACCCAAUAGGAAAUAUCAAUGAAAAAUCAGAGCAUGAGAGGAGAGAGAAUUUGGGUGUUUGUUCCCCCAGCUCUCUCUGUCUUUGCUGGGCCUCCAUUUGACGGUGGUUGCAUUCUGAAAGUCUCAAUCCCUCUCAGCUGAUCUGUCCUCUAUAUUUAGAGGUUAUACCAGAUUCCACUAACCAGUCCCCACAUUGUCCCUUCAGGACUAGGAUGGUAAUACCACCUCCAUUCUGUAGUUGCCAGUCCCAGGGUGUGUCACCAGUAAGUUCUCUCAAUCUUGCCUGAAUGGCCUUGGCAAAAUUCUCCACAAUUCCCUCUUUCUGGUCUGACAUCUACACUUCUUACUAAGGCCCUAUGGACACAAUGGUGAUGGUGGUGGAGGUUACCGUGGUUGCAGUAAUUUUUCCCUCGGCUGGUAGUCAGGGAGUCCUGAUGAAUAACCAUGCAGAGAGGCUUGAGAAUCAUGGCCGAGACUGGCAACAUGCUCAUUGUGUUAGUUAUCUACAGUUGAGUGACAAGUAACACCCGAAAUUAGUGGCUUUAAGCAAUAACAAAAAGAUUUUAUGUCUCAUUUUUUUUCACAGGUCAAAAUUCUGCAAAGGACAAUGGAUGGCUCAUUUGCUGACUGGUCUAGCAGCUGAUCCCGGCUGGUGGCUGGGGAACUGUUCGGCUGGAAUGCACAUACAGAGCAUCUCCAUGUGGCCGGGACUUCCUCCCAGCAUGGCUGCUGGUGUCUGAGGAAUGGAAGAUAGGGGCAUGUGUCACUGGAGUCUAGCCACCAUAAAUGUCAAUGUGAGGAUUAAAGACCAGCUGAGCAGCAGCCUUUGUUGGAACCCUGGCCCCGUCCAGCACGUCCACUGGCUGCUCACUGGAUGGGGACCCUCGGCUCUUUCCUGUCUCAGGUGAAUUUCACACCUCGCUCCGUGAUGUACUGUGGUUGCUGCCCUAAGACAUUUGAAAGGGGCAUAUGGAUUUUGUAUUUGUCCAUCGAUCAUUUUGCAUGGCUCCAUGUGUAUAAAUACUUUACUCAUUUAUUUGAUUUUUUUCCCCCAAUUUUUCUUCUUUUAGGGGAAUUCCAAUAUUCACUCCAAUGUCACUAACUGCUGAUUUUCUUUUCAUUCUUGUCCUUGAAAUUAGAAGCCCCCUCCCCUCAGAUAUAUUUUUUUAUAUGUCUGGAAAAGAUCUUCUGCUUAAAUAUCACAGUUUCAGGAGUUUGCAGGUUAUGUUACUGAAGACUUGGGUUCAACCACUUGAACUUCAUGUUUUCUGAGGUCUGUAACAGUCACAUCUAGGCAUUGUCACGUGACUCAGUAGAUCGAUUUCCUUGCACAACUGCCCAUGUUGGGGUAGAAAUGUGAGACAAUAAUGAAAUCAAUUCACAGAUUUCGUUUUGUUAAAAAAAAAUGUGCUUUAUCAAAAUUCUCUGAUUUCAAAAUUUCAAUGUGAAUUCAAAAUUCACAUUGAUUUCUCCUGCUCUGCCUUCUUUGCUCAGAAGUAACAUGUCUUCAUCUUUGUCUUAUAGGCAUCAUGAUGUUGCUGGAAUGACAGUUGUCUUGGGCAUGUCUUCAUGUUGGCAACCUCAGAGACCUGAGGCUUUGACCCCGUCACCACCCAGCUGUGUUAUCUUUGGGUCUCACUUAGACUCUUAUCUAUCCAAGGGACUGGAUUUGAUUAGAGGCAAACAGGAAGUUAGAUGCAUGCGAGGGCUCCCAAGAGCAUCAAGUAUAAAGUGGAAAACACUCUGUGUUUGGAGACUCUCACAUAUAUGUGUCCACACUGGUGCCCAGGCACCAGAGCCUCUGGGUGAUGGUCCAGCCUCAUGUCAUCCUCAUGGGGUCACCCCAAACAAAUCCUGUCUUCAGGGCAGACAGACCAACUGGAAGGAAUUUAGAUACCCACAGUGUCUUUCCAGAGCAACAAAACAGACACCUUAAAAAUGGCUGCACAAAGAACUUUAUCCUUAAAUCUAAAUUUUCAUGGGAGCCAAGAAGAAGAGCAGGAUAGAGGGUGAGGAACCUCUUCAGACUUGACCUCUCAGAAUUUCAAGGCAAAGGGAAACAAUAGGGGGCAAUUUUCAGAGAUGGGUGGUCACCACUGGGAGCUUGAGUAAGAAUUCCUUCGUUUUUUUUUUUUUAGACUGUGCCUUGUGGCAUGCAGGAUCUUAGUUUCCUGACCAGGGAUCAAACCCACGCCCCUUGCACUGGAAGGUGGAUUCUUAACCACCGGACUACCAGUGAA